CCACACCAAUGAAGAGGAUGACUGCUCCCUGACCCACCUGAGCCUUGCAGGAAAUAGACUGAUGGACGGCAGAGUGGCCACCCUUGCCAAGUGAGUGUUUGUGGUUUCUCUCAAUAUAUAUUACCCUUGUCCUUCUGUAUUUAGCUAGUUGAGCUGCCUGGGUCUUUUGCAAGUGUCUAUCCUGUACACUACCUCUGGAUCAUGUGACCUGACUGUCCAGUACUGAGAUCUGUAAGUUCUGUGUUUCCUGCUGUCCAGGUGUUGGCC
rnacentral:lncRNA from 8 species